rnacentral:rRNA from 1 species
UACGAAGGGGGCUAGCGUUACUCGGAUUGACUGGGCGUAAAGGGCGCGUAGGCGGUUUGUACAGUCAGACGUGAAAUUCCUGGGCUCAACCUGGGGGCUGCGUUUGAUACGUGCGGACUUGAGUUCGGAAGAGGGUCGCGGAAUUCCCGGUGUAGAGGUGAAAUUCGUAGAUAUCGGGAGGAACACCAGUGGCGAAGGCGGCGACCUGGACGGACAUUGACGCUGAGACGCGAAAGCGUGGGGAGCAAACAGG